rnacentral:tRNA from 1 species
GGGCCCUUAGCUCAGUUGGUAGAGCAACUGACUUUUAAUCAGUAGGUCGAGAGUUCGAGCCUCUCAGGGCCCACCA